GUAGGUGGCAAGCGUUGUCCGGAACUAUUGGGCGUAAAGCGCGCGCAGGUGGUUCUUUAAGUCUGAUGUGAAAGCCCCCCGGGCUCAACCGGGGAGGGUCAUUGGAAACUGGGGAACUUGAGUGCAGGAGAGGAAAGUGGAAUUCCACGUGUAGCGGUGAAAUGCGUAGAUAUGUGGAGGAACACCAGUGGCGAAGGCGACUUUCUGGCCUGUAACUGACACUGAGGCGCGAAAGCGUGGGGAGCAAACAGGAUUAGAUACCCUGGUAGUCCACGCCGUAAACGAUGAGUGCUAAGUGUUGGGGGGUUUCCGCCCCUCAGUGCUGCAGCUAACGCAUUAAGCACUCCGCCUGGGGAGUACGGUCGCAAAGACUG
rnacentral:rRNA from 1 species